rnacentral:rRNA from 1 species
AUUGAACGCUGGCGGCAGGCCUAACACAUGCAAGUCGAACGAGUGGCGGACGGGUGAGUAAUGUCUGGGAAACUGCCUGAUGGAGGGGGAUAACUACUGGAACCGGUAGCUAAUCCCGCAUACCAUCAGAUGUUCCCAGAUGGGAUUCGCUUGUUGGUGGGGUAACGGCUCACCAGGGCGACGAUCCCUAGCUGGUCUGAGAGGAUGACCAGCCACACGGGAGCGGAGACAGGGUCCAGACUCCUACGGGAGGAAGCAGUGGGGAAUAGGGCACAGUGGGCGUGAGCCUGAUGCAGCCAUGCCGCGUGUAUGAAGAAGGCCUUCGGGUUGUAAAGUACUUUCAGCGGGGAGACGUUACCCGCAGAAGAAGCACCGGCUAACUCCGUGCCAGCAGCCGCGGUAAUAC